AUUUCUCCCCACCAUUGACCAUUGGUGUAUUCCGGCACGCGGUUCACACUGUUAUCCACUGCUCCAUACAAACUCACUGUACAUGUACAUUUGAAUGUAGCGUGCAUGUUGUAAAUGUCGAGGCGCCGUCGAUAACCUCCUUCCCCUCGAAAGAGUGCUCUCGCGCACGUGCACGGUCACAAGCGCGAAUACCUGUGUGCGCCCUGGGAAUCGAACGAACGGAAUUUUCGAUGGAACGCGGAGUUCGCCUGGUAUCGGCCACCGUUCUUAGCCGUAUUCUCGCCGCUGUAUUAUUCACAGAGAAUGUUUCUUCAGAGAUUAAGCCACUAUAAUCGGAUAUACGAUACAGUGAGGUUCUGUUUGGAAUUAAUUUCUUAUUGUUCGUUUAUCAAAUUCGUUUUGUAUACAUACGUGAUAACAAGUAUAUUAUUAUAGUUGAUACUAAGUAUUGAAGGUUAAUUGUUAUAGUUGCUACAGUGGUUGGUGCAAUCAUGACAACGAAGUGUGACAAUGUAUCGAUCUUGAAAAUUUGAUAUAGUAUUUAUUCUUUUCUUUCUGGCAGCAUUUGAAUCAUUGUAGCAAUUCGAAUUCCAAAAGUAAUGCAAAGGAACGAUAUCUAUUACCAUUUAACAAACUGUUUGCCAUAGAAGUUACCAAUGAUCACUUUUAGAUUUAUCGAUGCUGUUAUGGAAGAUAUAGUGACCAACACUAACGAAAUUAAUUAGAAUACUUGAAUAAAAGGGACAGUCACAAAUAUAUUCGUUCCUCGCAAAAAUUUGUAAUAAUUUUAAUAUUGAAAUAACAGUAUAAAAUUACUUAAUGCACCAGGAAGUGUUCACAAAAUGAAGCGUGUACUCAAUUUAAAAUUACCCGACAGUCAACGUGUUAUGCAAUAAAUGAUUUGCUACUAUUUUUGUGAAAUAUAAAAUAUGUUAAUUUGAGAGUAACGAUAAUGACAGAAGAUAUAACUUUAUCGAGCAAUAAGAUUCUAUUGUAUUAUAAGAUUAUAUUAUUCAAAAUUGUAUAUGGAUUUCAAGAAAUUGCAACACUUAUUCCAAUGCCGCUGGCGCGCUUGGUGAAAGCCAGCCACGUCACAGUUGCUAACCUAAAGGUGACGUAGAGAUCGUUGGGGAUGACGAUAGUAUUCCAGUCAUUGGUAGUUUCCCAUUUCAUUGAUGCCGUGCUCCCUGUUAUUAUAACUUCCUGCUGUGCAGUUGCAUGGGUCCACCAUUCAUGUUGUUUGUCUUCCAUUGAAUUGCCAGUAGAUAGCUUUC